rnacentral:lncRNA from 1 species
CAUUUUCAAACAACCAACCAUUAUCCAUUCUCCCUCUUCAUUCCAUUUCCUCUAAAAAUACACUAAUACAAAUUUUAUAUACUUAUCUCCCACUUUUUGGAGGUCCCACAAUCCCACUAACAAAAAUUUAAGAGCCCCACCCCCACUACAAAAGUGCUUCCAUCAUUAUCCACUACCCCCACCAUCGAUACCAAAAAGCAGAGCAUAUCAAGUAAGCUUUGACAAUUCCCCCUCCUUUACUUGAACCCUGUUUGACAAAAGCUAGUUAUCAAGAAAAGGCAAAAAAGGCAAGAGCUAUGGCAUCUGACUUUGAUUGCAAUUUGAAGCAAGGCAGAGAGAACAACUUAUUUUCUGGGGUUAGAAUGGGACAAAUACGCUGUGGGACCCUUGGUGACCCUGGAUUGGAUUAGAUUGGAUUGGAUGGGACCACGGGAUGAGUACACUUUUCUAAAGUCUACGGAGGAGGAUUAGUCUCAGGCUUCACAAGAUUAGGGGAUUCCGGUGGUUGCGAAUGGUAAAUUGCCGUGGCCAGUGAGAUCGGCAUUAUGCAAAGAGCCUUUGAUUGAAGGAACUGCAUGGCAGCCCCAACAUUUUCUUCCAUGAGCUUAGCUACC